CAUGCUGUGUCUUGUGUCACAUCCAAUGUGUUGUUUUAUAUAUUGCGCAACAUCCGGCUUAUCGUGUUGUAUAUUGUGUCUUAUAUCCAACCUAUAAUAUGUGUUCCCAAAGUUACACCAGUGUCAUUAACUAACUAGUCAAUAUAUAACUAAAACAAAGAUAAAUUUUCUAAAGGGG